rnacentral:lncRNA from 1 species
AAAAGCCGAUGCGCAGCAAAACGCAGACAGCCCAAAUUCACAAACUCUAUUGCUCAAACAGGAGAAAGCCCAAAUCACAACCUCCACCUGUGAACAGAUCAACAACAUAUUUUUAAAAAUCUUCAUCAGUUUUCAAGAAAAAACUUUAUGAAAUAGGAAACAACACAUCCCAAAACCAUGAAACAAACAUCACUGGCAGAAUAUGUAACUCAAUGCUCAAAUAUCCACCCAGAACUGGAAAAACUUCAGAUUUGCAGACGUGGUUGACAUACCCACCAACUUACUUUGUGUAAAGUAAUGAGCAUUAAUCUGAGAUUACCAAUUAGUAAAACAAGUCCAGCAAUGUAACUUAAAAUCAAAAUCUCAAAACGCCUAAUGUCAAUCACAAGAUGAUAAGGCAAAAACCUAUGUUUUUACUCUGCAACGAUGCGCAGAAAUUGAAGUCAGAAGUCCACAUAACUCAUUCUAGAAUUUCAUGAUCCCCUCGGAAAAUACUGCCUAAGAAAAGCAAUCAAACAAUGAAAAAUUAAAACAAGCACAAAGAAUUCAUUAAGAAUAAAAAGACAGGAAAAGAUAACUUAUUGCCACAUCAAACCCUGUCAACCAAGAAAACAAGAAAGCCCCAAUCAAUAUUCUCGCCCUCCUUGUAGAUAUAUUAGCACCAAAUUCUUCACACUUUUUUCCAGAAUUACAAGAAUAGUGAGACCGAGAAUAAAAGAAACAAUCAAAUAAUAUAUAAUAUAAUUCCAAGUAACUAUGAAACGCUAACUCUUCUUCAUAGCAUUAGGACGCAUUAGCAAGAAGCAAAAGUCGAUCAUUUACUGUAACAUUAAUUCUUCCUCAACAAACAGUAUCUCACAAAAAUGAUCGCCGCCAUAUUGAAAGAAAUUAUCUUUAACGAAGUCUUCGGGGCUAAAAAUGGACAACAUAUUGAACAAAAACCGAAUUUGUUACAAGAAUGAUAGGAAUCCUUACCAGCGAUGCAUCAAGAUUCAAAACCUAACACAAAGAUCUUCCCCAAGAGCGAUCAUCAAACUUACUGAGAGAAACUUCUAAAUUGUGACGAAGAAAACCUUCCCAUGAUAGAAAUAAUUCAAUAUUGAAAGAACCCUAAUCCGUGAUGAGGAAAAUAUUCCCUGCAACCUAUCAACAAAGUUUGUCGGGAAGAAAACCAAAAUUGUAAAGAUUAUAGAUCAAGUAGCAAUGCAUCAAAACCUAACACGAAGAAGAACUUCCCUGAAAGCGAUCACCAAGGUCUUGAAAGAAAACCCUAAGAAGCAACCCUCCCCUGAUGAAAGCAUUCACUAAUCUGUGAUGAAGAAAUCAUUAACCCUAAUCUGUGACGAAGAAAAUCUACGCUGCAAGCGAUCAACAAAAUUUUUUUUUUGGAAGAAAACCCAAAGAUGUAGGAUGUAAGUAGCUAUGCAUCACCUAAAGAAGAUCCUCUCGGAACCGAUCACUUUCGUCUUCAAAACCUAAGUUGAGUAGAAAACAACCUUACCUGAAGCAUUCACCAACGUGGAAAAAUAAACCCUAUGUGUAACUAGAAAUCUUUCCUGCAACCUUCAACGAAGUAUAUUAGAAGAAACUACAAAUUUGUAAUAAAGAUUAUAGAAAUCUUCCACUGGCAACGCAUCGAAACCCAGCGAAAAGAAGAUCCUCCCUGAAAGCGUCGCCAACGUCUUGAAAGAAACCCUAAUUUGUUAUGACAACCUUCCCUGAAGCACUCACCAACGUAUUAGAAAGAACCCCUAAUUUGUAACGAAGAAAAUCUUUCCUGCAAGCGAUCAACAACGUAUUGGAAGAAAAACCAAUUCUGUGACAAAGACGAUAGGAAGAAAUCUUCUAUUGGCUAUUGACAAUUCUGUCACAAAAGAUGCAUCAAAACCAAAAACACAAACAAAACGUUCCUGAAAGCCAUCACCAAGGUAGAGGUAUUGCAAGAAAACCCUCCCUGAAAGGCCUAUACCGGCGCAAUGAGAAGCCCUAAUUUGUAACCAAGAAAGUCUUCCUGUAAGCGAUCAACAACAUAUUUGGAGAAAAACCAAAUCUGUAAACAAAGAUGACAGAAAUCUUCAACUGGCUAUGCAUCAAAACCAAACACAAAGCAAACCUUCCCUGAAAUCGAUCACCAACGUAUGGAAAGAAAACCUGAAAUCGAGCCCGAAUUCUACCAAAGCAAUCAAUAACGUAAUGAAAGAAAACCAAAUUUCUCACAAAGAUAAUUAUUCUUGUGAGCGAUCUUCAAUACCUAACACAAGGAAGAGGCGAGAGU